GCUCAGUUGGUAAAGCACAAGGCUCUUAACCUUGUGAAUGUGGAUUCAAGCCCCGU
rnacentral:tRNA from 1 species